GACGAACGCUGGCGGCGUGCUUAACACAUGCAAGUCGAACGGAAAUGCCCUGCUUUUGUGGGGUGCUCGAGUGGCGAACGGGUGAGUAACACGUGAGUAACCUGCCCUUUACUUUGGGAUAACUUCAUGAAACUGGGGCUAAUACCGGAUAGGAGCUCCUGCUGCAUGGUGGGGGUUGGAAAGUUUCGGCGGUUGGGGAUGGACUCGCGGCUUAUCAGCUUGUUGGUGGGGUAGUGGCUUACCAAGGCUUUGACGGGUAGCCGGCCUGAGAGGGUGACCGGCCAAAUUGGGAAUGAGAUACGGCCCAGACUCCUACGGGAGGCAGGAGGGGGGAAUAUUGCACAAUGGGCGGAAGCCUGAUGCAGCAAAGCCGCGUGCGGGAUGACGGCCUUCGGGUUGUAAACCGCUUUCGCCUGUGACGAAGAGUGAGUGACGGUAAUGGGUAAAGAAGCACCGGCUAACUACGUG
rnacentral:rRNA from 1 species